rnacentral:misc_RNA from 1 species
AAACCCCUCAAUUAGGGAUUUUUCGAAACCCCAGCUUGGUCUUGGGCCUGAGGGAUCAGAACCCUCUGCCUGCAAUCCAGUGGCGGAUUUUCCAGCGCGGCAUCAGCGUGAUGAACACGUCGUUCGCGAAUGGCGGCGGGAAAGUCCAGCCAUGACAAAACCCCCAUAGCAAUUUUCAA